AAUCAAUCAGUUUGAAUUCAGCCGUUGUUCGAAUCUGCUAUUGGUGCAAAAUGAAGUUACUUUGGCUAUUGAAUAUUUUAUUGUUUGCUAUCAGUUCAACAACUGCUCAAUAUUCAUACUUUUGCUGGAUGGUAGAUCCUGAUACAUAUAGUACGCCGAGAUGUCAUUGUGUUCAGCUAGAACGUCAUUUACCUUGUGGGGCUAUAUAUAUUUACAAUGAUCAGCGUUCUUGCGAGGCUGACAGAUGUGGAGGCAGGGGUUAGCGACAUCAUUGGAGGAACACGGAUCAACAAAGAAUUUUAGUUUACUUCGUGACAACAGAAGAAAUCAAUAAUAAUCAUGGCAGAGUAAAAUAUACCAGGCAGAAGCGGCUCAUUUUUGAAACGUCAAAUAAGGGACCUAAUAGUCUUGAAAUUGAAUUAAUUUUAUUCGCAAAAUAUAAGGCUACCGGAUAAUUCAGAUCCAUAGUCAAAUGAAGGGCUCUUGCAUUGGUUUUUUUCACUCUGCCGUGAUAAUAGUUCAUCGAUUGCUUUGUUUUUUGUUUUCAAAAUGAAUUUUUCAUUUAAUAAACUUAUAGUGCAUGAAACUAUAGCAGUAG